CUUGAGAAGAGCGCCUGGUUCU
rnacentral:siRNA from 1 species